AAAAAAUGAGGUUACUCCUCCUCCUCCUCUUCCUCCUCCUCCACAUUUCCCACUCCUAUGCCGCCGGCGCCGCCGCAAGAGCCGUCACGGAGCUUCGCGCACUUAUCGCUGUUAAAUCCUCCAUUACCGACGACCCUCAAUCUUACCUCUCAAACUGGAAUGCAACCACUCCCCUUUGUUCAUUCGCCGGAGUCACGUGCGAUUUAACCGGUCGUCACGUAACAUCCAUCGAUUUAACUAACUUCACCCUGUCUGGAACCCUUUCCCCCUCGCUUGCCCACCUCCGUUUCCUCCAAAACCUCUCCGUCGCCGAUAACAAUCUUACCGGUCCUAUCCCGACGGAGCUCGCUGUCCUAUCCAAUCUCCGUUACCUAAACCUUUCCAACAAUGUUUUCAAUGGUUCCUUUCCUACCCAGCUUUCCCAGCUGAAAAAUCUUCAGGUACUCGAUUUAUACAACAACAACAUGACGGGCGAGCUGCCGGUUUCCGUCACAGAGCUUCCCAAUUUGCGUCACUUGCAUUUGGGAGGGAACUAUUUCAGCGGUCAGAUCCCGUCAAGUUACGGCCGUUGGGAGCAUCUUGAAUAUUUAGCAGUUUCGGGUAACGAACUCAGCGGUAAAAUCCCACCCGAAAUCGGCAACUUAACGAAGCUGAAGCAGUUGUACAUUGGUUACUUCAAUAGUUUCGAAGGUGGUUUGCCGCCGGAGAUCGGGAACUUGUCGGAACUCGUUCGUUUUGACGCUGCUACCUGCAUGUUAUCCGGUGAAAUACCGCCGGAGAUCGGUAAGUUGCAGAAGCUCGACACGUUGUUCCUCCAGGUGAAUGCACUGUCUGGCUCCUUAACUCCGGAGCUGGGAACCUUAAACAGCUUGAAAUCCAUGGAUUUAUCGAACAACAUGUUUACCGGUGAGAUUCCAGCGAGUUUCGCUCAGCUCAAAAACUUGACUCUUCUCAAUCUUUUCAGAAACAAGCUCCACGGACGGAUUCCUGACUUCAUUGGUGAGUUGCCCGAGUUGGAGGUCUUACAGCUAUGGGAAAAUAACUUCACCGGAAGCAUUCCUCAGAAGUUGGGCAGUAACAAAAAGCUUCAAGUUCUAGAUCUUUCGUCGAACAAGUUAACGGGGACUUUGCCGCCGGACAUGUGCUCCGGCAACACGUUGCAAACGUUGAUUACUUUGGGUAACUUCUUGUUUGGUUCAAUCCCAGAAUCGCUGGGGAAAUGUGAGUCACUCAGUCGGAUUCGUAUGGGUGAAAAUUAUCUCAACGGGUCCAUCCCUAAAGGCCUUUUGGGAUUACCACAGCUUACACAAGUUGAGUUACAGAAUAACUAUCUAACAGGGGAGUUCCCGGUCACCGAUUCUUCCAUUUCCGUGAAUCUCGGCCAAAUCAGCUUAUCCAACAACCAACUUUCUGGGGCUUUACCGGCUAGCAUCGGUAACUUUUCCGGUGUUCAAAAGCUUCUUCUAGAUGGCAACAAGUUUUCGGGUCCAAUCCCAGCUGAGAUUGGAACGUUGCAGCAACUUUCAAAGAUUGAUUUCAGUCAUAACAAGUUUUCAGGAUUGAUCCCACCAGAAAUUUGCAAAUGCAAGCUGUUAACCUUUGUUGAUCUUAGUCGAAACGAGCUUUCCGGUCGAAUUCCGACUGAGAUCACAAGUAUGAGGAUAUUAAACUACCUGAAUCUGUCGAGAAAUCAUCUCCUGGGUAGCAUCCCUUCUUCAAUAUCCACUAUGCAAAGCUUAACUUCAGUCGAUUUCUCUUAUAAUAAUCUCUCCGGUUUGGUUCCUGGCAGUGGUCAGUUUAGUUACUUCAACUACACCUCAUUUUUGGGGAACCCUGAGCUGUGUGGUCCUUAUUUGGGGCCUUGCAAAGAUGGGGUUGCUAAAGGAACUCAUGAAACUCAUGCUAAAGGUGGACUCUCUGCAUCUUUGAAGCUUUUGCUCGUUAUAGGCCUGCUUGUCUUCUCCAUCUUGUUUGCGGUCGCGGCUAUAAUCAAAGCACGGUCCUUGAAGAAAGCGAGUGAUUCUCGGGCUUGGAAGUUAACCGCGUUCCAGCGCUUGGAUUUCACUUGUGAUGAUGUUUUGGAUUGUUUGAAGGAGGAUAACGUUAUAGGCAAAGGAGGUGCUGGGAUUGUGUACAAGGGAUCCAUGCCUAGUGGUGACCAUGUUGCCGUUAAAAGGUUACCGGCAAUGAGCCGAGGGUCUUCCCAUGAUCAUGGAUUCAAUGCUGAGAUACAAACUCUGGGGAGGAUUAGGCACAGGCAUAUUGUGAGAUUGUUGGGUUUUUGCUCAAACCAUGAAACCAAUCUCUUGGUUUAUGAGUAUAUGCCUAAUGGGAGUUUAGGAGAGGUUCUUCAUGGCAAGAAAGGGGGUCAUUUGCACUGGGAUACCAGAUACAAGAUCGCGGUCGAGGCUGCUAAGGGACUAUGCUACCUUCAUCAUGAUUGUUCCCCUUUGAUAGUCCACCGGGACGUGAAAUCGAACAAUAUUCUCCUCAACUCAGAUUUUGAAGCUCACGUUGCUGAUUUCGGCCUUGCCAAAUUCCUGCAAGAUUCAGGCACCUCCGAAUGCAUGUCCGCCAUAGCCGGUUCAUACGGAUACAUUGCUCCAGGUAUAUACUAUUCUUUUGAACAGAAGGUCAAAGAACUUGAUGUUUCAUCUGGAUCACGGAUUAUGCAUUAAUACCUACCAAUAAUUUCCACUGUACUUUGGUUUUGACUGUGUGUUACCAUGAUUUGGUGCUAUUGAAGUUCAUAUUUUCUUCAUUUCAAUCAAUAUAUGCAGCUUUCAAAGUACAUCAAUUUAGUUAUAGUUUGACCAACCAAAAUUUGGUGGUUCUAACUGUCCGGUGGUUCUAACUGUCCAGUGGUAAUUUCCCUUAGAAUUUCAUAUAAUUCCCCUGUAUUUUUUCGCAGAAUAUGCCUACACUCUGAAGGUAGACGAGAAGAGUGAUGUGUAUAGCUUUGGUGUAGUCCUGUUAGAACUCGUCUGUGGCAGAAAACCAGUAGGUGAGUUCGGUGACGGUGUCGACAUUGUUCAAUGGGUUCGAAAGAUGACAGAUUCAAACAAAGAAGGCAUCCUCAAAGUCCUCGAUCCCAGACUCCCAUCGGUUCCUCUCCACGAAGUGAUGCAUGUUUUCUACGUCGCGAUGCUCUGUGUUGAAGAACAGGCCGUAGAGAGACCGACGAUGAGGGAAGUGGUUCAAAUCCUAACUGAACUCCCAAAACCACCAAACUCAGAGUCCCCAACAUCACCGGCACCGUGCACAACUCUAGACCCACCUACAACAACAAUCACAAAAGACCAGCAACAGCCACCAGCACCUAAAUCAACACCACCUGAUCUUCUUAGCAUUUAAGGAUGUUAAUGUUCCAAAGGGGUUGUAGUUUUAUUACUACUUAGUGUUCUUUUUGCUCAAACUUUAAGGUGUUUAAACGUUUGUUUUUUUUUUUUUUCUUUUUUUGUGUAUAGUAGGAUUGGUGGGGGUAUUUUGUUAUAAAAAAAGAAGAAGCUUGUCUUUCAUCAUGCUGUACUGCUAGUUUUCUCCCCUUUCUGUUUUGAGUUUAUGAAACAGCUGUUUUAUCAAAAAUCAAAGUGAAAUAUUUAAUGGAUAAGCACAUAAACAGUCACAUUACAUAUAUGAAUUAUCAUCAUAAUCUAUGGAUACUUAAUUGCUCGAGGUGACAUAAAGAACAGCUUUCAAGGCAAUAUUAAAAAACAGUGAUAGAUUGGUUUUAGGUACAAGAACGUCGUGUUUUCUGGGUUGGAAAAUCCUUUGGGCUCAGUGUUUCUUUUUAAGGCUUAACAUUUCACCUCUGAAUUUGAUAAUUGUUUAAGUUGUACUUAUAUUUCUUUUUUUGUCCCAAUUUUUUCAAUUCAUUAUAGUCUUUUCCCAACACAUACAUAGAAGAAGAAUAAUAUGUUUUAUUGCACUCGAAUCCAUGUCCUCCUGCAUUAACAACAAUACUUAUUCCAAUCGAACUAAGAUUCAAUUGAUUUUAGUUUUAGAUAAUGUGUUUGUUUACUUUUCUUCAUCCCUUUUUACUCUCCUUCCGUCAAGAUCAUUCAUGCAACCUUGACUUUCUUUUUCCUAGAUUUCCAAUUCCAUGCCUUGAAACCCUCCUUUUUCUAUUUGAAUAAAACUCCAGUAAAAAGAAAGUUGAACUUCAACUCCCUACUGCCUACCCCUAGAAUUCUUCACCAAAUUCCACCCUUCCAAAACUUUCGUGGUUAUAGAAUUGAUUUUUUGGGUUGCUACUAUACAAAAUUAGAAAAUCAAAUUACUAAGGUCAUUUUUGUGCAUUGUUAUAAAAAAAAUCGGAUAAAAUAAAAAAUAAACCAAUUCUAAUAGGGCAAAAUAAAACAAUUCAAAUAAUCAAAUCGCGUAAUUCAUUGGUUUUCCAAUUUACAACUUUGUGGGUUUUUUUUUUUAAAAAAAAGAUUCUUUUUUGGAAAAUAAAUCCAAAUUGAUUUAUGAGAGUAGGGAUAGUGAGGGUGGAUGGUUGGUUAAAUUAAAUUGUAAGGGUGAAGGCUCUUAGCUUUACAAUUUUUUAACUAAAUUGAAUAAGAAGAUGAUUGUUGAAUUUUUUUUAGGGGUUGAUAUUUAUGGGUUUAGAGAUGCUUUGUAGAUUUUUUUUCUAAUUUAUAUAUAUUUAGAAAUUUAAAAUUUAGAUGUAUAUAUUUAUUUUUGGAAUUUUUAUUUAUAGUUUUUUUUUAAAUUUCUAGAUUUUUAAAUUUUUAUAGUUUUCAAAUGAUGAUAUCAUUAUGAUGUCAUCACUAUAAUAUGUAUGUGUCACAAGGUGUCCUUUGUUUUAAAUUUAAUAGCAUUACAAAAAUGUAUUGGAAUUGUGGACGAAAAAAAAAAAUCAUAAUAAUCAUAAUACUAAUUUGAGAGAAAAUGUCAAAUUGAAGGAUCAAAUGUAUAUUUAAGCUGGGGUGUAGUCAAGGGGCUGACAGGGGACCUAACCUCCUAAAAUGAAAAAUUUUUAUUUAGGCCCCUUUAAAAUUUAUAAAAAAAUUUAUUAACAAAGGUAAAAUUGCACUUUGGCCCCCUUAAAAUGAUAAAAAUUUAAUUUAAUCCUUUAAAAAUUAUAAGAUAUUCGAUAUUAAAAUGGUAAAUUUUCAUUUUUACAAUCAUAAAAAUAUACAAUUUAAUUUCACCUCCCUAAUUUUUUUUUUAUUUCACCCUUGUAUUUAAGUUUUAUACUACUAUAGGGAAAGGUUGUUUAAAAAGAAAGCAUAUAAAAUGAUAAAAUCAAUGAAUCUCCCACUAUACAAAUAUUUUCUAAGUUUUUUUUUUCUUUUGGGUUCCAUUUUUUUUAAGUUUAUUAUUUAAAAAAUGCAUAAGAUAAUGAAAGUGAUAAAUUUAGUUCUCAAAGUUUACAAUUUUUGUUAAUUUUAUUAUCAUUCUUUUUUUAGCUAAAUUUGAUUAUUAACAUAUAAAAAAAAGUCAAACCGUUGCUCUUUAAUGGAAAUGUUGAGUAGAAUAUUAAUCUAAUAACGAUGUUGGCAUGGUGUCACAUACUCAACUUUGUUCACUAGGCUGCAAGCCUAUGAGUUACUUGGAUGGACGCUUCCACUAAAGUUAACCAACAAUCUCGAUAGUUUGUUAAGACAAGCAUGCCACAAGUUAGCCUCAAGACACAAUUCAUCCCUAUGGGGCAUAGCGGAUGCCCUCACAUUACCUCACAUUUUCCCAAAGGAAAAAAUGAGUUUAUUAUAUUAAAAACAUUACAACGAGUUAUAAAAGGACUCACUUAUCCACACCAUCAAUGGGUUGUGGGGGCAAACCCUCAAUGGUGACCAAGCACAUACCUUAACUAGUGGCUCAGCCCAACAAUUGUUGACUGUCCAUCCCCUACAAAGGUGCUAAAAUGUUUUAUAAGAACGCUACUAGGAAACAUAAAGAUAUCUGCAAUAAAGACAUUUUCCUAAAUACAAAAGAUCUACCUUUUGCCAUGGCCUCUAUACAUGGAUGGGCCUUUAGCAUUCUACCCUGUCAUGACCCUACAAGGUUGUAUCAUGACACUUUCUCCACUUAAUCUGCCGAAGUCUUCAUUGACUUUGUUGUGAAGAAUUCUUCAAUCUUUCACCAGAAGCCUUCCAAGUAGUGUUCUCUCUCCCAAUUGAUUUUCUCUUGACCUAAACCCUCCCAUUUGACCAAUUACUCUUCGGGGUGUUUUCUUAAGACUACGAUCAUUCUAUCAGCUUAGAUCUCUACAAGUCUUUUUUAUGGAAGUCUUGUAUUGAUUUUGCUCUGGUGGAUUCAUUUCAACUUAAGUCAUUAAGAUUUGGAUGGUAAGGUUUCAAGUUGCUGACAUGGAAUACAAGGUGCACCUUCAUUUACUUGGGCAAUUCAAUUUUGUAUGAAGUGUUUCCCACUUUGGCUAUAAUUGUCAGCAGCCCUUCAUUUUUUUCUCGCUAGACGACGGUCUUGCUUCCUCAAGAAUCUGAGAUGUUCGAACACUAAUUUGAACAUUUUAUCUCCUACAUUGAAGUGACAUGUUCUUCAACCUUUGUAAGCUCAUUUCUUCAUUCUUUUAGAGGCUCUUUCGAGUUAGGCUCAAGCAAUUUCUUUGUUACGCUUCCAUUCUUUCGUAAGAUUGAAGGCUUGAGGGUUUUUCCCUGGGUAAGGCUCGAUUGCAAUGUGAGGCAUUCUCGUUUGUUGUUCAAACAUGAUUUUUAAUGGACUCUUAUUGGUGGUUGAGCUUUUCCUAGCAUUAAAGCAAAAUCAAGCGACAUCUAACAAUAAAGGCCAAUUUAUUUGAUUUGCUUGUACGAAGUGCCUCAAGUAUUCUUCUAGUAGCCCAUUAAAUUGUUCUAUCUGUUCAUCAGUUUAUGGAGGAUAAAUGGAUGAAAUGUUUAAGUGAGAACUUAAAAUCUUAAAGAGUUCUCUCCAAAAACUUCUAGUGAAUUGCGUAUCCCUAUCUAAUAUGAGACUUUGUAGCACCCUUUAAUACUUGACCACAAGCUUGAAUAUCGACUAAUCUUUUUAUUCUAUAGUGUAGCGUUUUGGCGCUGGGAUAAAUGUUGCAUAUUUGGAGAAAUGGUUAAUCACCAUUAGGAUUUCAACGAAAUUACCCACUUUUUCUAGGCCAAAGAUGAAGUCAAGAGAAAUACUUUCCCACAGUCGUGAGUGGACUGACAAUGAUUCCAACAAGCUCGUUAUUUGUUGUUUAUCUACCUUGUCUUGUUGGUAAAUGAGGCAAGUUUUUGUGUAGGCCAUCGUAUCCUCCGACAUACGUAGCCAAUAAUACCCCUGUUUGAGUAAUGUUGUAGUGUAUUGCCAACUAGGAUGACCAACCCAAUGUGUGUCGUGGCACCCUCGCAUCAACCUCUAUCUCAAGUCUCCGGUCUUCGGUACAUAUAAACGUGGCCUCUUUGUUAUGAGAGUCUCGUUUUCUAUACAAAGUAUUAAGACUUCUCUUUUUUUACGAGCUUCAUAAUAGCAAUUGCUUAAAGGUCUUUCUUCAAAAUCUCUUCAGUAGCUUUUUGGAUAUGGACCGUCACCUUAGUUUCAAACAUUGGGGCAAUUCUCCUUAAUGUUGCUAACUUUGCUUUAUAACUCAAAGCAUCAACUACUUGAUUGUUUUUUUCCUAAUUUUUGAUCAAAAUGAAAGUCAAACUCAGCUAGAAACUCUUGCCAUAUAGCUUGCUUGGUAGAUAACUUCGGUUGUGUCAGGAAAUGGAUAACUACUGUGUUGUCGUUCUUGAUAACAAACUUAGACCUUAGCAAGUAGUGCUGCCAUGCCCUCAAACAAUGAAUCAUAGUUAGUAGUUCUUUCUUUUGGGUCGUGUAUCUCCUUUCAGUCUCACUCAACUUCCUGAUUUCAAAUGCAAUAGGGUGUUUUUCUUGUAGCAAUACCCCUCUAAUGGCAAAGUCUGAAGCAUCUAUCUGAACUUCGAAGGGGCACUCAAUAUCUCGGAGUGCUAGCACCAGAUCCUUCAUUAUCACAUAUUUUAGUCCACCAAAAGCUUAUUGACAUUUAUUUGACCAGGCUCAUUAUUCCCCUUUCUUCACUAAGUUAAUGAGGGUCGUUACUUUUAAGAUUAACCUUUAACAAAUCUUUUAUAAUAAUUAGCUCAACUCAAGAAGGAAUGCAAUUCACUGACAUUCUUCGGAAUAAACCACUCCUUGAUUGUCUUGACCUUAUCCAUAUCUAAAUUUAUCUGCCAAUGACAAAUGAUAUGCCCCCAAGAAAUGGAAUUUGGUUUAAGCAAAAUCACACUUUUCUUUUUUCACAAAUAACUAAUUUUCUCGGAGCCUAUCAAAUUGUUUGAUUUAGUUUUUUAAGUGUAAUAUUUUUAUCUAUGUACACUUGUAUUUUUUCGUACAGAUUGGUUUAAUAAAAUUAUUCAUGAAUUACAUUAAUGCUCUUUGAAUAUUAUCCUUAUGUAUUUUUUCAUAUGAAGAAAAAAAGAAGCAUAUAUUAGUUCAUUAAUUAUCUAAUAUUUAAAUAAUAUUAAGCAGUAUUAUGUGGUUGGAUUGUAAUACAAAAAGACAACUUAUAUUAGUAGAUGAAUCUAAAUAUGUCCUUAGUCUAAACGGAAAUAAGCAAACUGAUUGAAAGACUAAUAUGUUGUCUAUCAAGUCUAAUUAGAGAGAGACUCUGUCUUGGACAUUGGAGCGGAUGACUUGUAGAAGAUAGAGAUAUAGAUGUGACUAACUGCACUGACAGUACAUUGAACAAGACCCAAAAAUAAUAGAUCCUAAAUCCGUUUAUGGAUUUAUUAACUUGUGAUGUUCAUAGUACGGAAUACCUUAAUCCUGAGUGGAUGAUGGACUAUGCAUGUGUGACUCGUAUAUUUUAAUGUGAGUAAAAUCCUGAGUUCAAAUAGAUAAAAAAUCGAAAGCUGAUGCGUUAGGUAUACGACUUCUACAAUAUGUAACAUCAUUCACAAUAGUGGAAUUCAUAACUUACUACAUGGAUAAUGAUAUCCUCUCAUUGACUUUACAUAAUAGAUGAAAAGUAAACGUAGCUGUGAGUUGUUUGUCUUUGUGAUGAAUGACUUAAUUACUAUAUGAUAGUAAUUGACUUUUCAUUAAGAAAAAUGUAAUGGUUAUCAUGAGAUAAAAUAUUAUCAUAUUAGGAGAAUGUAUUUAUCUUAAAGAGAUAAUGAUAUCCUAUGAGGGGAACACGCUUAUGACAAGGUCAUUGAAUGAGUACUGAUCGAGUAGCUUCCAUAAUGGUAUGUAAUUUGGGAGAACUCAAUCACUAGAGUUGUCCAUGUGUCAGGUCGGGCCUAGUAAAAAAUUUAGGCUUGAGCCUGACCUGACUUGAAAAAUGAGCCUAAAAUUUUUCCAUUCCCAACCCGAAUAAAAAUACUAAAACCGAACUCGGCCUAGCUCGCCCUUAUUAAAAUUUUUUAUAUUACUAUUUUAUAUAAAAAUAAUAUUUAAAAAUAUAAUACAUCAAAUGCACUAAAAAUAUUAAAAUAAAUAUUUCCCAACAAAUGAUUUUUUUAAAAAUAUACUUAAAUAAUAUUAAUAUAAGUGCAACCUAGUAAGUAAAUACUUUUAAAAUAAUAGUAAAAUUAAUAAUAAAAUAAGAAUUAUAUAAUAUCCAAACAAUAACAACAAAAUAGUAGCAAUGUAAUAACAAAAUAAUAGCAAAAUAAUAAUAAAAAAUAAUAACAUUUUAUUUUUUGCAAAUUUGAGCUAGGCCAGGCUCGAGCCAAAAAAAGCUUACCCGAAGCUUAGCCCGUUUAGAAAACUGGCCUUAUUUUUUGUCUAAACCCAUUUUUCGAGCCUAUAUUUUUACCCAAACCCUACCACUUUUUGGGAGGGUCUCCGGGUUGGGCCACCUGUCUGACCCAUAGACAAGUCUAUCAAUCAUGAUACUAUAGUGGAAUGACUUCGUGACUACAUGAGUUUAUAAUUAAUAGGCGAAAAACUGGAUGUAACACCUCAACCCAGUCUAGACGUUAUUGCUGAAUCUAGCGAUGUCCUAUGAUAGUGCUUUAGAAAUCGUAAUGACGUUAAGACCAUUUCUCCGUAGGUACCUCUUUUCAUUAUCUUAUGCUAUCUUCUAAAACGCGUCAUUUGUUUUCAAUCGUUAACCAUUUUCAAACGUUGAACUUUGUGGAAGCUUUUAAAACCAUUUCGUAUGCGUGGUAGUUUCGUAAAACAUUUGAUUCUAUUAAAAACCCGAGUUUUCCUACUACUAGCAGUAAAAACUGUAAAAAAUUGUAAAAUCCCAAAUUAAGCAAAAAUCCAUAAAGGCCUUAAUUACAACAAAUUUUUCCCAAAUAUAAAUUAAAUCAUAAGUAAACAGAAAAUAGUCCAAGUGGAAAACCGUGUGGUGAGUCCUCCACUGCUCCGAUCCAUCUACUACUGGGGAUUACCUGAACAGAUAAAAUAGAAAGGGGUGAGUUUUCGCAAACUCAGUGUGUAAUCCUCACAAAUAAAACAUAUAUUCAAACAUACAUCAUAAUACAGUCUAGGGCCGGAGCCCAUUACAGAACCAGUCUGGGCCUAAGGCCAUUCAGAUACAGAUGCAGAACAGAUCAUCAAAGUCCUACCCACCAACCUCUACAGACUAUCUCCGUUCAACCCUACACACCAUGUGGGGAUAAAAUUAACCCACCAAUCCCUAUACACCAGGCUAUACUGAAAUGCAGCACAUAAUCAGAUAAUUGCAGCUGAGCUGCCAGAUAUCAGACUUAAAGCCUUUCAGAAUACUUCCUCCAAUCUAACAUCAACCCAACCCCGAUACAAUGCAACAUGCAUAAAUGACAUACUAAAAUGCAGCCUAUCAAAUUACUCAAACAGUUCAGAUUUACAUGCUAAGUAUCACAUGCUUAAUUCAUACAUAUCACAUAAUCAGAUCACGAAAUUAGGGGUCUAAGUAAUACUUACCGAACCUAUAACAGGUCUUAGUCGACUUGGGCGACCCGUGGAACCUUACAGAUUUUUCCAAAAAAAUGGGCUCACACACCCAUGUGGUUUGCUCGUAUGGGCCCACACGGCCUGAAUUGGCCUUGGCUGUGUGGAUCACAUGGCCUAAAUUGGCCUUGGCCAUGUGGAUCACACGGCCUGGCCCAAAAAUCUCACAGUCCGUAUGGUUCACCAGUAUGGGCCCACAUGCUUGUGUGGCCUACAUGGCCCAAUUGGUCGAGCCCGUGUCUCGUACACAGCCUUACCGGCCAUCACAUGGCCGUGUCUUGUGCGCACGACCUGGCUCGUCAAUCAUACGCUCGUGUACUGCCACACGGCCUACCACACGGGCUACCAUACACCUGUGUGGCGUCGACAAAAUCGUUUUUCGGCUUUCACCGAUUCUCUUUUUUUUUGUGUUUUCGAGUACACACCUGUAUCAUUUUUGCAGCCUAAACAAUCCCGAGCACUCCAGAACAUAUAUUUGAUCAACAUUUAACUCAGUUAAACACUCAAUCAUCGAUGUCGAAACCUUUUUUUUGAAAACGGGAAUCGAUUUGCUUGAAAACGAAAAUCAAAACGGGGAGUCACCACCGACCUUUAUUUGGUGUGAUCGGAUCACCUUUGUUUUAAUAAAACAAUUUUAAUUUUCUAAAAUGGUAUUUUGGUCUAUGAAAUUCAAGAGAACAAGUUCGGGAGUCGGUUACGUGUGAGGAAGGAUUAGCACCCUCGACACGCCCUAAAAUUGGUACCGAACUGAUUAGUUAGUGUCUUAAUGUCGAAAAUUGAAAAUCGGGAAUGAAUUUAAAAUACAAUCCUUUUUAGUAGCGUUGAUUUCAAAAGAACGUUCGAAUUAAAUAAAAAAUGAUUGCCAAAGAUUUCCUCGUCUCGAGAUAUCGAAGUAUCACACCCUGUAAGUUAGGACACGAUACCAUGAACUCCCGAGCGCAAGUUGUCUUCAAUUUUAAUUGGAAUUCCAUGUAUUUUAAAACUCAAAAGGAUAUUUGGCAAUUUAGGACCAACGAAAAUACCGAAACCCCGUAAGUUAGGGCACGGUUCCUUGAUGUUCCAAAACGUGAAACAUGGCUUUAUUUUCAAAAUUUUCUUUUGUUUUAAAUUUGGAUCUAAAAAUUUUAAUGAAGUAUUUAAGAGGUAUACGUUUAGAAAUAAAUCACGAUGAAUAAUUAAAAUGAUGAAACGAAAAUGCACCAUAAAAAGAUAAUAAUAUCAAAAUGUUUGGACACGAUCGGAAUGACAAAGCCUUACAAAUUAAUAUAUACAUAUAUGAAACAUAUAGACCACUCAAUGAAUGGGUGAGCAGGCUAAGCGUAUAUAGUAUUGAGCAUGCAUAUUUCGAAGUAGAAAUAAUAUAUAAAUAACAUAAACAAUGAAUAGAUAAAUAAAAUAACAUGGUAAACAAAUAAAUAAAUAUAACAUGUAAAGUAUUGAAUUUGGAACAUAAAACAUAUAAGGGUAUAAUAAACGAAAAAAUAAGACAAAAUAUAAUAAAAGUAUAAUCAUCUAAAAUCUAAACAUAAUGAGUUGGGAUUUAACCGAUUUUAAAAUGGAUUUUGGAAUUUAAAAAAAAAUAUAUAUAUAACACAUAAAAAAUAUAAACUAGUUUUUUUUUUAAAAUAAUAAUGUAAAAGAAUUUUAAAGUAAACAACAUAUAAAAUGAUUUAAACCAAGUAAUACACAUGAAACUUUAAAAUAGAUGAUAUAUACAAAGAUUUAAAAUAAAUCACAUAUGAAAAAAAAUUAAAAUAAAUAAUAUGUAAAAAUAAUUUUGAAAAUAUAUAAUAUGUAAGAAGUAUGUAAAAUAAUUUAAUAUAAGUAAUAUAUAUAGAAUCUUAAGGUAAAUAAUGAUAAAGGGUUUACGAUAAAUAAUAAAAGAAUUUGAAAUUGUUUACAUAUAAAAUAGUAUAACAAAAUAACAUAUAAAUCUUAAAACAUAUAAGAUGGUUUAACAUAAACGAUGUAUAAAACAUUUAGAAUAAAUGAGGUAAAAAGAGAAAUUUGAGAUAAAACAAUGUAUAAAACCGUUUAAGUAAAAAGUAUGCGUAUAUAUGUAUAUACUAAUUUAGAGUACAAAGAAACAUAAAAUUUUCAAAAUGAAUACUACAUAUGAUGAUUUAAAAAAGAUAAUAUAUGUGAAAUAUUUAAAAUUGAUGGUAGUUUAAAACACAUGAUAUGUUCAAAAAUAGUGACAAUAAUAAUAAUAAUAAUAAUAAUAAAAUAAAUAAUGUAACAUUUGAAGGUAUAGAAGAUAUACACAAACAUAUGAUAAAAAGAUAAUAGAAAUAAAAAUAAAAAUAAAUCCAAUCUAUAAAAAUAAUAAUGAAUAUUAACUAAAUUAGAUUAAUAGUAUAUAAUCGUAAUAAUAAUGAUAACAAUAGAGAUAAUGAUAUAUAUAGUAUAACGUAAGUAGUCCGAGUUUAAAUGAGUAUGAAUAAAUAAGGGAAUAAAUAGUGAUAAAAUAAGAAUGACAGAUAAUAAAAUAAUGACAAUAAUAGAAGUAUAAAUAACAUAAAUAAUCAAUAAGGAAAUAAAUAAAUAAAUAAUGAAAGAACAAUAAACAAAUAAAUGUAGGAACUAGGAUAAAAAUACAAAUGAAUGAUGUAUAUAUAUAAGUUGAUGAAUGAACGAGCAAAUAAAAAAAAAAGAAUAACGAAUAUAUAAACAAAUAAACGGAUAAAUAAAUAAAAGAUUUAAAUAAAAAAAACUUAAUUAUGCUUAAAUAAAGUAAAAGGAAUAAACUGAGAAUAAAAUGAAAUUUAAAAUCUUAAAUAGUGGUGAGCGAAUGAAUAACCACCAAAGGGAUUAAAAUGAAAAUUUAAACAAAAUUUAAGUAUAAACUGUAAUAAGUCAAAUGAUAAAAUUUGAAAUAGGGACUAAAAUUAAACGCGCGCAAUAAAGUGAGGAUGAAAAGGGAAAAUAUCCCCAGUCUUUCAAAACGCGUAGCACUAGCAAGGACUAAAAUAAAAUGAAGAAAAAGUUUCUGAGUCGGAUUGAAAAUAAAGACAAACGAGGAGGAUAUGAUUGAAACCAGUUGAAAAAAUGGGAGGGCCAAGCACAUAAAUACCCCCAUUCUUCCCAAAACGCGUGGAUCCUAGUGGAUCAUGGGUCGGGUCAGGUCGGUUUUGUUUAAAUUGUGCCGUUUUGGCACCUGAAAUCAGGGCUCAAAACGACGCCGUAUGGUCCCCUUAUAAAUACCAAAAUUUUGACCAAAAAAUUCAUUUAUUCACCCCCUUUAAAAAAAACUGAAUUCCUCUAACCCUCUCCCUUCUCUUUUCGUGGCCGACCAGGGGGCGUCCAAUCGCCAUCCGUCGUACCACCACUGUAUCCGAUGGCCGACGGUGCGUGAAGGUGCGUCUUUAGCCUCGUUUCAAGGCGCGCUUGAAGGCCGAAACGCCUUCAACCCUCAAAGACGAAAGGAGAACGGUUCAUGCCCCCUUUUGGGUCCGAGCGCUACAACGAUGAGAAGCUCUCCGAUGAAAUGGUCACGGGGCGAUUUCGGUGAGUUUUUAUUCUCUUCUCUUUUAUUUAAAAUAGAUUUAUGAUAAAAAUAAAAUGUAAAAAUAAAAAUAAAAUAUAGGAAAAAACGAAAAGAAAAUGAAACGUAGAAAUCAACCUUUACUCGUUUUUUUGCUCUUUGAUUGCCUAAUCGUGUCUGUUACAAUCUUUUUGUGUUUGUGGCUAUAUAGCCGAAUACAAAAAUCUAUUGUUUGCUACUGUUUUGGCACUGCUUUUUCUUUUUUCCUUUCUUUGCCAUGUUUGCAAGUCCAUGGAGGGUUAACGGGCGAGGGAGUUUCCACUUCCGUGCAAGGGCUCGAUCCUCGGGCGGGGUGCGCGCUGAGGCACGUGGGUGGUGGCUGCGGCGUGAGGGAGGCUCAGAAACCCUAGGGUUUCUGAGUUGGCUUAAUGUUUUGGGCUUAUUGGGCCAAUAGAGGUUGGGUUAGGGAUUUUGGGUUGUGUUUGGGCCAUGGUUGGGUAAUUUUUGUAUUUGGGCUUUCGUUUUUAUUUUUGUUUAGGCUGGUCAGUGGUUUUUUUGGGCCCUGGUAAAUUUGGGUUCCUACAGUCGAAUUAAAGCCAACCCAAACGAAUUACCCAAUCAAGAAGCGAUUGAAACUUACCCCAACGCUUCAAAAUUUGGUUUACUACUAAGCAGUACGAGAAAAGUCUUGAUCUUAGAGGUAUGAUACUGCCAAAUUAUUAGAAUAAAUAAUCUCAAUCAAAACUUAGCAUCAUAAUUUACAACCCAUAAGAAACAACUUACCGAAGUUACACAAAUAAGUGUCACUGAUGAGGGAGAGAGUAUGAUUGUCGUCCAAAACAAAGUAGCAAAAGAAGAGUGAAGAGAAAGGAGAAUUUCGGUUGGGGAAAGGAAAAAAAAUGACGAAACGGCAGAAAGGCAAAACUAACGUCAGUUUAGGGAAAAAUUAAAUAUAAAAUAAUAUUCUGAUAGGUAUUCAGGAAAUGCCUUACUUUACUCAUCCACUAACCCACCACUCAGAGUUUUAGACCAACCAAAAUUCCAUCUGAUAACCGAGCAAAAAUAUAAACUCCCUGUGUUUGAACUCAAGACCUCCAGCAUAUUAACACUCCACUUAACUAUCAGACCAGCAUGCCCAUUCUGAUAUUGUUUUACAAAUACUUAAAUAUAAGCCUAUUGAACAAGGUUAAAGCUUUAAUCAAAAAAAUCCCAAAAAUUGCCAAAUAAAAGGCUUGAACUUGGGACCUCACGCACACACCCAGAACACUUAACCACUGAAGCAGAUACACAAUUGAGUCAUAAAUUCACAAAAAUAAAAAACAUAAAUUUUGGGUCGUUACACUGGAACUUAAUUAUAAAUCAUUUGAGCCCUAAUCAUAUAUGUCUAAUCCGUUUCUCCGCUAGCUCGUUGAAACUAGAAAUGAAUUGCAUGUUAAAUCAAAUGAACAUAAAUUGAUAGAAAUGACAAGGUUAGAAAUGAGUUAAAUUCAAAAGUAAAUGUGGUUUCUCACUAAGUAUGGAAAUAAUCUAAGAAUUAAUUUAAGUUUUUUGAAUUAUUAUUUAAUUAAUUAGAUUUAAAAAAUGGAAUUAAAUUUAUUGGUCAUUGUGAAUCCGUUAAAUUUAAAUUUUAAAUAUAUUUUCUCAUAGAUUCUUUUACAGUAAAGUUGUCAUGAUUUUAAUAGAAUUAGAAUCGGGUUGAGAAAAUUAUUUAAAUAAAAAUUAAUUAAUUAAUUAAUUUAAUAAAUAAUGUUUAUUUUGAGAAACAGAAAAACAUGUAAUGGGUUGGAUUAAGUUAUAAAGUGUUGGGUUAAAAUUUUAGGAAAUACAUAUAAUUGGACCCAAUACAGAAGAGACUUUAAUCCCCAUCAUAAUACAUAUGAGAGGAGACAAACCUAAUUAGUCGCCCCUCUCUCCUAGAUCAACUAGGGGAUUCAUUUUUUUUUCCUAUUAAAUAGGCAUUAAAUGCAUUAUACUAAUUUAACUAGGGUUCCACUUCCUCUCCCUAUAACUAGAUGGCACCGAUGAAAAUAGUGAAUUUAUUUUUAAGUAUAAAUUAUAUUUUUUAAGAAUAACAAUUCUACCAGUUUUUACUAGAGAGAAAUUUACCUUUCUACUGAAAAUACAAAAAUUAUUUAUGAUUUUGUGUGUGAUUAGUAAUUGUUUGAGUCCACACUCAAAGCAGUUUAUGAUACGAGAAUAGUAGAGAAGGCUAUUUUUGAACCAGAUUUUUUCCAAUACAAAUACCAAUCGCAAAUGCCUCAAAUGUUCCUCCAACAAAAGACUAUAGACUAUUAUAUCAUCGAGAUAAAUGACCACGACCUUGUCCAAGUAAUUAUGAAUUACUUGGUUCAUUAAUGUACAAAAUGUAGCAAGAGCAUUGGAUAGUCCAAAUGGCAUAAUAAGAAAUUUGAAAGCUCUAUACCAUGUUACACAUGUUGUCUUUGGUUCAUCUUCUUCUGCAAUUCUGACUUGAUGGUAGCCCGAUCUAAGAUCAAGCUUUGUGAAAUACUUGGCAUGACUCAACUGAUCAAAUAAGUCGACAAUCAAAGGGAACAAAUACUUAUUCUUCACAGUUACUUUAUACAAGGCUCAGUAGUCAACAUAUAAUCUCAGACUCCCAUCAUACUUUUUUGGAAUAGAACAAAGACUCUAUAGGGUGCCUUCUAAGGGCGAAUGAGACCUACUUAAAGCAGCUCAUCCAAUUGCUUCCUCAACUUAGCUAAUUCUAGUAGAGUUAUUCUAUAUGAGCACAUUGCUGAUGGCUUCACCCCCGAAAUUAACAAAAUUUUACCGUCCACAGUUCUUCUUAAUGGUAAUACUUUCGACAACUGAUUUGGUAUCACGGCUUUGAAAUAUUUCAAUACAUUUUCCACUCCACUUGGAAAUGAAGUCACUUCAAUUCCCUCUUUAGAGAUUGACAUGAAAAUGAAAGUUCAACCAUUCUUACCUAUUUCUUAAACUGGAUAGCUAACAAGAUCAUUGGAAGAAUUGUAGCAGGCACUACAUAUGGGCGUUCCUCCAAGAACAUUAAGCAUCUUGUAGUGGGAAUCAACAUUACAUGUGCGGUAACCAUGUAAUCCAAUCCUAUGACAACAUCAAAAUCAUCCAUAAGAGAAAUUGUGAAGUUCACGCCUCAUUCCCAUUGCUCCAAUUUCAUUAUCAGAUGCUCAGAGCUUCUAUAAAUCGCUAAAUCAAGAGAGUAAACUGCUUUUAUUUGCCCAAAGUCUUUGGUGACCUUCAACUUAUAUCUUUUUUCCUGAUCAAACGUAAUAAAACUAUCGGUUACACCUGUAUCCACCAUGGCUUUUGUUGCUUUACCAUUCAAUAUCAUAUCUACAAACAUGAGGCCCCUGCCUAGUUUCUUCUUUAACUUCUCCAAUUAUGAAUGCAAGGUAUUGAGGAAUUGUAUCGAGCCCAUUCUAGUCAACUUAAGCUUAUUAUCAUCAUUUGAUUGAUUUGCUAACAAGAUCAUUGGAAGAAUUGUAGCAGGCACUACAUAUGGGCGUUCCUCCAAGAACAUUAAGCAUCUUGUAGUGGGAAUCGACAUUACAUGUACGGUAACCAUGUAAUCCAAUCCUAUGACAACAUCAAAAUCAUCCAUAAGAGAAAUUGUGAAGUUCACGCUUCAUUCCCAUUGCUCCAAUUUCAUUAUCAGAUGCUCAGAGCUUCUAUAAAUCGCUAAAUCAAGAGAGUAAACUGCUUUUAUUUGCCCAAAGUCUUUGGUGACCUUCAACCUAUAUCUUUUUUCCUGAUCAAACGUAAUAAAACUAUCGGUUACACUUGUAUCCACCAUGGCUUUUGUUGCUUUACCAUUUAAUAUCAUAUCUACAAACAUGAGGCCCUUGCCUAGUUCCUUCUUUAACUUCCCCAAUUAUGAAUGCAAGGUAUUGAGGAAUUGUAUCGAGCCCAUUCUAGUCAACUUAAGCUUAUUAUCAUCAUUUGAUUGAUUUGCUUAACUCCUAUCAUGAGAAGAAGCUACUAAGGCAUUCAAAUCACCCCUGUACGGACAUUCAAUCACUCGAUAAGGUCAUUGACAUAAGAAACAAGCAAUAAGUUGUCUUAAUUUGGCAUUAGGGGCAUUGUUAGAUAUCAAUUUAGUGGAAUCAUUAUAGGGUGGUCUUAAAUUUUUGCUUCUAUUUGAGGGGCAAUGGGUUCUUUCCACCUUCCUCGUAUUGCUUAACUCGAACUACUACCACUAGAAUGAGGCAUCUUACAUUUCGAAGAGUCGUCUCUGUAAUCAUUAAGACGCUUAACUGCAGCCAUUGUGGUAGCCCCAUCUUGCACCUUCUACCCUUGUAUCUCUGUUCUAAACCAAGGAUUGAACCCUUCAAAAAAGUAAAAAUCUUGUCCAUCUCUAACAUUUCCCUGAUAUCUUGCAUGAGGAUGGAAAAGCUUUUCACAUAGUCUCACACAGUCCUCAUUUGAGCCAGCUUUUUAAGCUUCUGCCUAGCCAUAUAUUCCAUAUUUUCAGGGAAGAGUUGACUCUUUAAUUCUUAUCUCAAACUACCCCAUGUUUUGAUGAGCACUCACCAUCGAUAAAUUUGGAACACCACUACAACUUGGCAUCUCUCGUUAGAUGCAUUGUAACCAUUACUACCUUGUAUUCCUUCGAGUUAGUGCGCAUCGCCUUGAAGUAUUUUUCCUUAUCAAACAGGAAGUGCUCAAGCUCCUUGGUAACCCGCGCUUCCUCAAACCAAUGUAUUUCUAGACCUUUGGCCUUUUUUUCAUCUAUCAGUGGAGCAACAACCUAUUAAGCUCACAAUCAUCUAAAUCACAUUCACUUAGGCCUUGAGUUCAUUAAAACCCUGUUUGAUGGCCCCAAUAGUAUCUCUUGUAUUAUUGCCAAGAUUUUUUAUUGAUUCCUCAAAUAUCUACUUCAUUGCAUUCAGAGCAUCCAUCGCUUCUUCACUAAAGGUGUUCACCUAUCGGAUUGCUUCCGCUAGGCUAUCUCAAUCUCUUGUGCUCGAUUACUCAUGACCAUGUGGGCUUUCAAGGUGGCCACCAUGGCCUCAAAUUCCUCAUUUCUGUGGUGGUCAUUCUAGCCACUUGUAUGGGGAACCUUUAACAUAUUGUUUAGUGUCAUCACCAUUUUUUAGUUCUUAACGAUGUGAUUUUGCUAGCUUUGAUACCACAUAUCAUAGACUUAACUUUGUUCGUACGGUUGCAAGCCUGUGAGGCGCUUGGAUGGAUGCUUCUACUCAAGUCAGCCAAUAAUCUCAAUAGUUUGUUAAGACAAGCAUGCUACAAGUUAGUCUCAAGCUAUAAUUCUAUUCUGUGGGGCAUAGCAGAUGCCCCCACAUUACCUCACAUUUUCCUGGAGGGAAAAAUGAGUUUAUUAUAUUAACAACAUUACAAGGGGUUAUAAAAGGACUCACUUACCCACACCAUUAAUGGGUCGUAGGAGCAGCCCUUGAUGGUGACCUAUUACAUACCUUAACUGGUGGCUCAGUUCAACAACUGUCGACUGUCUAUCCCCAACAAAUAUGCUAAAAUGUUUUUAUAGAAACGCCUACCAGGAAACAUUAAGAUGUUUGAAAUGAAGACACUUUCCUAAAUACAAAAGAUCUACCCUUUCUCAAGUUCCUCUACAUGGGUGGCUUGGCAUCCUACCCUGUAAUGGUCUUACAAGGUUGGAUCAUGGCACAUGGCAACUUGCAUGACAAUUGAUGUAUAUUUCAUGUUAACAUUACACUAUUUGUUUUAUAUGAUAUAUCAACAUAUAACUUAAAAAUCAUAAAAAUAUUCAAAAAAAAAGUUUAAAAAAAUAAAAAAGCAUAAUGUACACGAUGAAUUACCAUGCGAGCGACCGUGUAUAAAAUUAUUAUUGUUAAUAAUUAAAAUGUAAAGGUUAAUAGUUAAAAUUUUCGUUGUGAAUUUAAAAAAAUGCAGAAGAGCUCCAUGUAUUAAGCCAAAAGAUAAUUAAUUUCAUUGCAAAAGUUAAAGUGAUUCUACUCAAAAUUUUAUUACUAUUUAGAAAAAAAACUAUAACAAGGAUAAUUUAGGUUUUUGCGUACCUAUAUUUAAGUCCCACCACGCAUAAUUACUUAUAACUUCUCUUCCAAGAUUACUUUGAAUUUAAGUCCACAAUGUGUAGGCAUUGUGGGGAUAUAUUCUGGAUUUCAGUUUGAUCAUGUUUUGUAUUUUUUUCAUUCUAAUUAUAAUUACUAGAAUGUAUAUUAUUUGUAAUUGCAUUAUACAUGGAAGAAUAACAAAACUCGAUUCACCCAAUGAAUUUCAAAUCAAUCUUUUUAAUGGAGCAAAUUUUAUUUAUUUUUUUUUUGUAGAGGAGGGAGCGAAGUGAAAUGAGGGAUGGGGAUGGAAUGUUUAUUUUGUUUAUUAUUAAAAUUAUUAUUUUACCCUUAUAUAUGUAUAAUUAAUUAUUAAAAAUAUUUGAUAAAUAUCAAAAUUAAAAUUAGAUGAGGUAAGACGAGAAUUGAUAUAUUUGAUUUCUAUAAAAAAAUAAUAACAAUUUUUAAUAGAGUACAUUCAUAAUGAAAUGAGACGAACGAUAAAAUAACAGGUAUUAAAUUAUCAAAACAAUAACGAAUUUGGCAUGUCCCCCAAAGUUUAGUAUGUCCAGAAACACCAAUUAUAGUGUCUUGAGAGACAACAAAAAUUGACCCAAGUUUUUAUUUAGUUACCACCACAAUCUCCAGCAAAAUUAUUAAUGUUCAAUAACUAUUAAUCCAACAUCCUAAAGAAAAACACUAAUCAUAUUUCCCUCUGCCAGCUCCUCACAUUUUUCCCUAUCCUCAUAAGAACUGCUUUUAAAUGAAAUGCCAAAGGCAAAUUCAAGCAAUUUGGUGGAAAAUUUUGAUAUUGGUGGGCUAAAGUGAAGGGUUAAUUCCUGUAGAUAUCCUCCAACUAUGAUUCAAAUUUUAAAUAGAUCCUCACUAUUAAUUUGAGUGAUGUUGAACAUAUUUAAACUAUCUGUAUCAAAUUGUAAACAUAUGUGCAUUCAACUGCGGAGCCAGAAUUUUUUUUUGGGCAGAAUUAAGUUGUAUAUUUUUACGAUAGUAAAAAUGUAGUUUCAUCAUUUUAAUAGCCUAUAUCUUUAUAAAUUUUAAAAUGUCAAAUUUUUAUCAUUUUUGAGGUCAAAGUAUAAUUUUAUCAUUACUAAUUUAAAAUUUUAUAACUUAUAAAGGGCCUAAAUUAAAAACUUACCAUUUUAAGGGGGUAUGGCCCCCUUGGGUCUCUACUAAACUCUACCAUUGUGUGUAUUACUAUAGAAUUUGUUUGAAUCUAACGUGUUAAAGAAAAAUAAUAAAAGAAAUAGUUUUCUUAAAUUUUAAUGUCAUUUUCUGGGUUUUUUUAACAAGUUAAUUAGAAAGUAAUAUAUUUACACUUUGAUUUAUGUGUUUUUUCAUCAUAUCAUGUUCGAAUAAUGGUGUUCAUUGGCUGUACCAAGCCUAGGCUUGAUUCCAAAAAAUAUCUAGACCGAAGUUCGACCCCUCCAAAUGAUCCAUUUCACAAUUUAAAAAAUUAAAAUAUAUUUUUUAAAUUUUUAUAUAUUAAAAAUUUUUAAAAUUCAAUUAAAAAACUAAACUCAAGUCUAACCCAAUCGUGGUUUGAGCCAGUCGAGCUAAGAAGGCUGCUCAGCCCAUGAAUAAUUCUAUGUUUGAACUAGUAUUUAACCCUUAAAUAAAUAGGAAGACUGAUGGAAAGAUCUAAUUGAUAUCAAAUGAUACUUUAAAGACUCAAUUAGAACAUUUUAAAAUUUUGACAAUAAUUUAAAGAUGUUUUUUGCAAUUAACCCAUAAAAUAAAUGAUGAUCUAUGAUGUGUUAUAAUCAUUAUUAUAUUUCUAUAUAAGGUUGAUAUGGAUACGGUCCAAAUAUAAUUUUAUCGUUUCCUUCUAUUAGUUAUAUCAUUAAUCCAUAUGAUUUUUGGACUAAAUUAUUAAAUCAAAUUACUUUUUUUAAAAUUAUGGAAAUAGGUCAAUUUUUUGAAAAAUUACGAGAAUGAGUCGUUUUUUAUAAAACGCUUCUACCUGAAAGCGCUUUUUCCUUCUAACUAGUAAAACGUUUCCAACUGGAAGCAUUAAAACGCAUCUAGCUCAAUGCAUUUUCCCCCAACGGUCACUUCCAACUAUUAUUUAAAAUAGUCGUUGCCACCCCCCAAAGGUAAAAAAAAAAAAAAACUAUAGACCCCACACUUACUAAUUUUUCACAUUUCUCCCUUAAAUUCCUCGAAUUCUCUCUUAAAUUUUUUACUAAAAUUCUACUUCUAUCUAAAUUCUAUUUUUUAUUAAUAUUUUCCAGCUAGAAGUGCUUGUUUGAAUUUUCCUUGAAAACAACUCCAGCUAGAAGCGUUUUAGCAAAAACGGCCCAUUCCCAUAAUUUUUCGAAAAUUCAAUAUAUUUUCGUAAUUUUAAAAAAUGGUAUAUAUUUCCGUAAUUUUAAAAAAUGGUUUUAUUUGAUAAUUUAAACUGAUUUUUUUAUUAUCAUUGAUGCAGAACUUUGACCAUAGAUCAAGUUGCAUUGAGCCUCUCACACAUUAAAAAAAAAAUUAAAAAAUUUAUUAUGGAUGUAAACAAUUUAAUAAAAAAAAUUGUUUUAUAAGGUAAAGGUUAGUGUAAGAUUAAUAUUUUUAAAAUCAAAAGUUUUUUUUAACCAAAAUUUGAUUUUUAGAUAGUAUGAUUUUUAUUAUGCUCACAACUCUAAAUUUUUUAUUGUUGUUUUUAAAUAUGCUAAAUUAAAAAAAAAUCGGAAAUAUUAUUAAAAAUUAGGAAAAAUCUGAAAAAAGUUAACAUAAAAUUAAUUCAAUUUCAAUGUAUCAUUAAAUUAAAAGAAAAUCAAGAAUUGUUUAGACUCGUGGUUAAAAUUCGAAGAUUUUGCACGAAAAAUAAAAUAAGCCCAAAACAUUAUAGUCGAUUCAUCUGAUUUUAUAUUCGAUUUUUUUGUUUUUCUAUUUAUUUCAAUGGGAUUUAUUUCAAUGGGAUUUUGUUAAUUUUCUAAUUCAGUUUCAUUCAACCAAUUGAUUUAAUUUCAAUAGCACUAAUUUUGUACAUUUUUAUAUUAAUCUUGAAAUUAGAAGUUAAUAAUUAGAUAUUUUUAUUUUUUUAAAAAUAAAAUAAUGAGAUAAUAUUUAAUAUGUGAUGACAUGUGAGAAUAAAAGAAAGUUUACUUUGGUUUAUGAAAUUAAUAGAACAAUAAAUGCCCUAAUAAUUGUUAAAGGGUCAACCUCCACAACUCCUCUACAUAUUUUUCUGCCUUUUCCAAAGAAAAUACAAAAAUCAGUCUUCCAAUAAUUUCCAAAAUCUUCCUUACCAUCAAUGCUGAUACCAUCAUAAUUCUAUCUUUCAUAAAUUUUCUCGAAAUCAAAUAUCUAUAGUUGGCAGCAAUGAUUGAUCCCAUCUGUCAUGGGUGCUAUUUGAAGAGGUAAAUGAUUGGCCAUGAAAUGUGUUCUAUUCUCACAACAAAGAUCGAACUCCCCACUUCAUAGUUAAGGAAUUAGGUAAGCAAUCACCACAUCUCAUCUUAUGAUUAAUUGUACUAAACAUCCCUAAACUAUGGCAUUCGUUCUAAAUUGGUCCCCAAACUUCAAAAUGUUCUAAUUAUAUCCUGAACUAUCAAUGUUAUUAGGUCAUUUCAUUAUUGAAACUAUUAAUUUAACUUUAAAUGACAUGUGAAAGUUUAUGUGACAUAUCUUAAAAUGAAAAUUUUAAAGAAAGGUAAAAUGUUACCGUAUAAAUUUUAAAAUUAAAAACUAAAAAUAAAGUAAAAUUGAAAAAAUAGAGUGAAUGAUAAUUUCUGUAAAAACUUUGAAAAUUUUAAAACCAAGAUUUUUACAACAUUUAUUUUUGCAAUAUUCAUUUUUCUUUAUUUUUCCAUUUUAAAUUAUGUCACAUAAGAUUUAACAUCUCAUUUGACGGUUAAAUUAACAAAUUUAAUAGCAAAAGGAUCUUAUUGAUAUAACAUCGAUAAUUUAAGUAUAUGAUCAGAAUGUUUUAAAGUUUAAGGAUACAUUUAGAAUAAGAAUAAUAAUUUAGGGAUGGUUAGUACAAUUAAGUCUUUAUAGGACAUCAACAUUUUUUUUAAUAUUGAACCAAUUGAAUUAAGUAUCAAUUGUUUUAACAGAUAAAAAAUCGAAUCAUUUAUUAAUUAUUAAUUACAACAUUUUAAUAAUUAUUAUUUUAUCUUUACAUUUUUUUAUACGAUUAAAUCAAAAUUCAAAAAUUCAACCUACACAAAUUUUCCAACCAAAUUAUAAUACAUUUAUUGGCUAUUUAUAUCCAUAUAAACUACUCAAUCACAUCAAUAAUAAUAAAAAUAAUAUAUGGAUGACCAAAUAAACUUUUUCAAAUUUAAGUUGAUUUAUAAACCAUUAUAAAAUCCCACCCCCUCUACCUUUAAUUUCUCAAGUUUUGGUCACCAAUUUAUUUAUUUUAUUAAAUAAAUUGUAAUUUUUCAUAUGAGAAAACCCAUUUAUUCAAACUUGUACCUAAUUUCCUUUUACCAAAUUUGGCUUAAGCCGCAUUGUUGUAAUAUUGGCUUCUUUUUCAUUUUGUUUAAUAAUUUGAACUUUGAUAGCUGGCUGGCUGACUAAAAUAGUAAAAAGAGUGCUAUUAAUAAUUUUGGGUCAAAUCAUUGGAAUAAUUUCAACAUGUUUGGAAAUUUUAGCUUUGCUUAGAUUUAGUACCUUCAAACCAAAAUUCUCCUUCACUUUAACCAAUAUUUACCGUUUAUUUCGGUCAAUAAUUGUGUCAGAUAACAAAUUGGUGUUGACCAUCUACUUCCCAUAACUUAAUUUUACUGUUAAUUUCAAAUAAUUUAGAUAAUUAUUUUUGAAUUAGGGUUAUUUACAUAAAUAAUUAAUUUUUUGGAGACAUUUGGGUAAAAUAACCUAAUUUUAUUAGCUGGUUAGCUGACCAAAAUAGUAAAAAAGAGUGCUAUUAAUAAUUUCUUUUGAUUCUAUUUUGGGUCAAAUAAUUGGAAUAAUUUCAACAAGUAUGGAAAUUUUAGCUUUGCUUAGAUUUAGUAAUUCAAACCAAAAUUCUCCUUCAACCAUGGUUUAGCUUUAAACAUUUGGCAUCUCCACUUUUCUUCUUCUUCUUCUAAAUAGAACAAAAAAGGGUCUAAUUAUAAAGGUUAAAAUAUGCUUCAACUCAAUGUAUUUUUUAUAUAUUUAAAAUUUAAUCCUUUUAUUUUUAUAUUUAGUAAUUUAAUUUAAUUUAAUUUAAUUAUUUUUUAAAAUUUAAAAUUUGUUAACAUUGUUAAAAUAUUUAUAAAUUAAAUCUUUUUGGAAUAAAGAAACUUGUCCAAUGAUUGUUAAAAAAUACAGAUAUACCAUUAAAUUAUAAUUAUAAAUAAUUUUUUUUUUUAAAAAAAAACAUAAUAAAAUGACAUCUCUGCUUACUUGCUUCACUCCUUUUAUUCACUUUCUUUUCCAUUUCCGUUUACACUUUCCCUUCCCUUCCAAUUUCCAUCGCAGGGAAAAUGAGGUUACUCCUCCUCCUCCUCCUCCUCUUCCUUCUUCUUCACAUUUCCCACUCCUAUGCCGCCGGCACCGCCGCAAGAGCCGUUACGGAGCUUCGCGCACUUAUCGCUGUUAAAUCCUCCAUUACCGACGACCCUCAAUCUUACCUCUCAAACUGGAAUGCAACAACUCCCCUUUGUUCAUUCGCCGGAGUCACGUGCGAUUUAACCGGUCGUCACGUGACAUCCAUCGAUUUAACUAACUUCACCCUGUCCGGAACCCUUUCCCCCUCGCUUGCCCACCUCCGUUUCCUCCAAAACAUCUCCGUCGCCGACAACAAUCUUACCGGUCCUAUCCCGACGGAGCUCGCCGUCCUAUCCAAUCUCCGUUAUCUAAACCUUUCCAACAAUGUUUUCAAUGGUUCCUUUCCUACCCAGCUUUCCCAGC
rnacentral:lncRNA from 1 species